CUGCUGCCUUCCGUAGGAGUUUGGGCCGUGUCUCAGUCCCAAUGUGGCCGUCCACCCUCUCAGGCCGGCUACUGAUCGUCGCCUUGGUGGGCCGUUACCCCGCCAACAAGCUAAUCAGACGCGGAACCAUCGUAUACCACCGGAGUUUUUCACACUGUCCCAUGCGGGCCUGUGCGCUUAUGCGGUAUUAGCCAACCUUUCGGCUGGUUGUCCCCCACGAGCGGACACGUUCCGAUGUAUUACUCACCCGUUCGCCACUCGUCG
rnacentral:rRNA from 1 species